AGUUAAGAAAAACAUUUUAGCCUUGAUGACAAAAAAAAAAAAGAAGAAGAAAAUGGCACCUUUCUGUGGUUUACGAAGAGUGCGAAGAUUUGUCAUUAUUGAGAGAUUGAAAAUUAAAUUGAAAGUAGUCGUAUUGGCGAAAUGUCAAGGUUGAAGAUUUAACAUUACUUACAGGAUGAAUAACAUAACUGCUUAUAUGUUCCACUUUUACUAGAUUCUUUUUAUUUAUAGUCUUACAACUUCAUUACUAAGUUGAUCAUGUGACUUAACAAGUGGAAUUAAUUUCUGUAUAAAGAAUGCUAUGAAUAUAUGCAACGUCAGAAAAGUCGUUGAACUCUCAACGGCAUAUCAUUGGCAUUAGAUUAGCUUCGUUAUCAACGGCAUCAUCUAUUAUAGAAGAUAAUUAUACUUGACUCUAAGAAUCGUUUAAAGCAAUUCGAAUUAUGUUUAUGUUUUCAUCAUAAAGACUGUAAUAUGAUAGCGUCUAUAACGUUAAAUGUUUCGAAAGAAUAAUAGUCGGCUUAUUUCGUAAUGAACUGACUAACAAUAGGAGGAUGCGAAUCUAUCAACCUGCACGCGAUUAUACGUGAAUUAUUCCAUUUCGCAGUAUUUUUCUUUCUUUCUUUCUUUCUUUCUUUCGUUCUCUUUCUUUUUUUCUUUUUCUUUUUUUUUUUUCGUCUUCUCUUUUAAAUAUUCUUCGAAGAUAAUAUCUCAGAAUACUUUUAUUUCUUUAUGAGAACACAACAACAGACAUUCAUCGAUGAAGAUGAAAGUUACAGUGUGUUCAAGGAAACUUGCAGACAAGCGAAGUAAAUGGGUGAGAGAAAUUCCAAAGCUAUCAGAAAAGAGGCUUGAGAAAGCGAUGAAGAACACGAUUGUGACAUACCAUUAUAUACAUCGAAUACACAAGCAAACAUAUUAACAAAAUUCGUCACUAAAACGAAUUAUCUCGACGAUCGUAAAUUUUUGGAAAUUUUUUUUUCGCCAUUGAAUUUACCUUUGCGACACAAUUAAACGAUACGAUAUGGAAUUUGACAAUGAAUAUCAUUUGUCUCGAGAAAAAUUUCAAUCCUUAAUUGUAUUUAUAUUGGAAAUGUUAUAUGUUAAUACGAGAAAGUAAAUUCUUGACUAAUUCUUAA